UAACUUUUUUAGGUUAAGUUAUUAAGGGCGCACGGUGAAUGCCUUGGCACUAGGAGCCGAUGAAGGACGGUACUAACACCGAUAUGCUUCGGGGAGCUG
rnacentral:rRNA from 1 species